UGAGAGGUGUCUUUAUGCCUUUCUGAGA
rnacentral:piRNA from 1 species